AUAAGAUGGACCCGCGUCUGAUUAGCUAGUUGGUGAGAUAACAGCCCACCAAGGCGACGAUCAGUAGCCGACCUGAGAGGGUGACCGGCCACAUUGGGACUGAGACACGGCCCAAACUCCUACGGGAGGCAGCAGUGGGGAAUAUUGCACAAUGGGGGAAACCCUGAUGCAGCGACGCCGCGUGGAGGAAGAAGGUCUUCGGAUUGUAAACUCCUGUUGUUGAGGAAGAUAAUGACGGUACUCAACAAGGAAGUGACGGCUAACUACGUGCCAGCAGCCGCGGUAAAACGUAGGUCACAAGCGUUGUCCGGAAUUACUGGGUGUAAAGGGAGCGCAGGCGGGAAGACAAGUUGGAAGUGAAAUCCAUGGGCUCAACCCAUGAACUGCUUUCAAAACUGUUUUUCUUGAGUAGUGCAGAGGUAGGCGGAAUUCCCGGUGUAGCGGUGGAAUGCGUAGAUAUCGGGAGGAACACCAGUGGCGAAGGCGGCCUACUGGGCACCAACUGACGCUGAGGCUCGAAAGUGUGGGUAGCAAACAGGAUUAGAUACCCUGGUAGUCCACACCGUAAACGAUGAUUACUAGGUGUUGGAGGAUUGACCCCUUCAGUGCCGCAGUUAACACAAUAAGUAAUCCACCUGGGGAGUACGACCGCAAGGUUGAAACUCAAAGGAAUUGACGGGGGCCCGCACAAGCAGUGGAGUAUGUGGUUUAAUUCGACGCAACGCGAAGAACCUUACCAAGUCUUGACAUCCUGCGACGAUGCUGGAAACAGUAUUUUCCUUCGGGACGCAGAGACAGGUGGUGCAUGGUUGUCGUCAGCUCGUGUCGUGAGAUGUUGGGUUAAGUCCCGCAACGAGCGCAACCCUUAUGGUCAGUUACUACGCAAGAGGACUCUGGCCAGACUGCCGUUGACAAAACGGAGGAAGGUGGGGAUGACGUCAAAUCAUCAUGCCCUUUAUGACUUGGGCUACACACGUACUACAAUGGCGUUAAACAAAGAGAAGCAAGACCGCGAGGUGGAGCAAAACUCAAAAACAACGUCUCAGUUCAGAUUGCAGGCUGCAACUCGCCUGCAUGAAGUCGGAAUUGCUAGUAAUCGCGGAUCAGCAUGCCGCGGUGAAUACGUUCCCGGGCCUUGUACACACCGCCCGUCACACCAUGAGAGCCGGGGGGACCCGAAGUCGGUAGUCUAACCGCAAGGAGGACGCCGCCGAAGGUAAAACUGGUGAUUGGGGUGAAGUCGUAACAAGGUAGCCGUAGGAGAACCUGCGGCUG
rnacentral:rRNA from 1 species